rnacentral:rRNA from 1 species
GACGAACGCUGGCGGCGUGCUUAACACAUGCAAGUCGAACGGAAAGGCCCUGCUUUUGUGGGGUGCUCGAGUGGCGAACGGGUGAGUAACACGUGAGUAACCUGCCCCUGACUUUGGGAUAACUUCAGGAAACUGGGGCUAAUACCGGAUAGGAGCUCCUGCUGCAUGGUGGGGGUUGGAAAGUUUCGGCGGUUGGGGAUGGACUCGCGGCUUAUCAGCUUGUUGGUGGGGUAGUGGCUUACCAAGGCUUUGACGGGUAGCCGGCCUGUGAGGGUGACCGGCCACAUUGGGCCUGAGAUACGGCCCAGACUCCUACGGGAGGCAGCAGUGGGGAAUAUUGCACAAUGGGCGGAAGCCUGAUGCAGCGACGCCGCGUGCGGGAUGACGGCCUUCGGGUUGUAAACCGCUUUCGCCUGUGACGAAGCGUGAGUGACGGUAAUGGGUAAAGAAGCACCGGCUAACUACGUG